UACGUAGGGUGCAGGUGUUAAUCGGAAUUACUGGGCGUAAAGCGUGCGCAGGCGGUUUGCUAAGACAGGUGUGAAAUCCCCGGGCUUAACCUGGGAACUGCGCUUGUUACUGGCAGGCUUGAGUGUGGCAGAGGGGGGUGGAAUUCCACGUGUAGCAGUGAAAUGCGUAGAGAUGUGGAGGAACACCGAUGGCGAAGGCAGCCCCCUGGGCUAACACUGACGCUCAUGCACGAAAGCGUGGGGAGCAAACAGG
rnacentral:rRNA from 1 species